GGCCCGCGGUUCCACUCAGGAGGACACAGACGCUGUCAUCCCGGGGGCGGGGGCCUGCAGGCCAUGACUCAGGUAUUAAACUGCCCAAGGUCCCAAAGACAGCCUCAGUUUCCCUGCCUGCGGAGCAGGCCCGGUGACGUCAGCCGGGACCUGGACCCGGCCUCGCCCGCGUGGGAACUCGGGGUGGGGGGCGCGUGGCCACCCGACACCCCGCGCCCGCCGCCCGCCGCGCGCUCAAGGAAUUGAACUCAGGAUCUCGAAGUUGCCAGGCAGGUGUUUUGCCACUGAGCUACAUACCCAGCCCCGCUGAUUUAUUUCUGCACCAACCAACUGGGCUGAUGACCUUUACAAAAGUCUCCCUUCUCGAUAUCUCUGCUAAGCCCUGCUUUGUUUUCCUCAUGACACUGAUACUGUUAUUUAUGUGUCAGGUCUCCCCACCAGAAUAUAAGUCCCAGGAAGACAAGGAUCUUUGUUCAAGUGUCUACUCCCAGUGCCUCUGCCACCUCCCACUUCUUUGCAAAUCCUGUGCAUGAGGGAAUCAGGGAAGAGUGUGAGCUGGCACACAGCAGAAUUUCAAAUAGAAAAGGCAGCUCUGGAAUCUGUAGUCUAAUCAUAAUCUGCCUGGUUACCAGUGAUGUCAUCAACCCCAGUUAGCACUAAAUCCACCUGGCAACUAGUGAUGUCAUCAUUCCCAAGCGUCUCAACUUGCCUGGUAACUGCAGGCAACACUUAUUCUGCUCAAUCUAUGGAGAAAUGGACCACAUCACUUCCCUUUGCUAAAGGUUUUCUGCGAUCUGCAUGCUGCUCUUAGCAUUAGAAUCAUCACCAGUGUUUACUGAGCGCUCACACAGUUCUAAGCCCUUCUUUCUCUGCAGUCGGUCUCACAAGCCUCCCCAUGACUGAGCAGGGGAAACAGUGUCAUCACACCCACUUUACAAGUGACCACACUGAGACACAGCUGCAGCCUGGAUCUGAACCAGCACUGCCUGGCUUCAGAGCACUGCAUGAAACCAUGACAGAGGCCGAGACCCAGAGAGCCAAGGCCGGGGCUGCUACCAAGUUGGCCUCUGAGCCUCCAUCCAUCCACGCUCCAUCCCAGUCAGUGGACCGCAGCCUCAAAGCCCGGAGUUGCUCCUGUGGGGACCCAUCGAGCUGGCCCUUGUCAGCUGUGAGCCCUGGCGGCCCUGAGGCCGCCCCUUAAGCCACCCUCGGGGAGAACUCAGUGCCCGAGCAGACGGAGUAGCCAGCACAGGUGUGCGCAGGAGCACAGGCAGUGAGGGAAGAAUGCUGAAAUGUUGGAGUUGGAAGGGAAGAAGACAGGAAAAGCAGGGAAGGGCUGCUGUCUGCAGAGAAGAGAGUUUAAGAAACAGUUUUACUUUCUGACGGGGUCUUGUUGAGUCCCUAAGUUGUCCGGGUUGAGUUUAAAUUUAAGAUCCUCAUGCCUCAGCCUCCCGAGUGCUGGGAUUAUAGGUGCGGGCCACCAGGCCUGGCUGGAAUUUGUUUCAGCAACAAUAACAAAUUGGGGGGGCAGCUUCUGUGGCAGAUUGCGAGGCGGGGACCAAGAGCCUGAGUCUUUACAGAGAAAAGCAGGCUGCUGAUUUUCACCUCGGGCCCUGGCCAGAGUCCUGCCUGAGGCUUUCCCUGUGGCAAAGACAUGAAUACUCCAGCAUUUUAUUUUUGGCCACUGGGCUGUUGUUUCUGCACACGUGACUCGGAGAUAGAACUGGCUGUGAGACAAGGGCAAGCUGCUGGCCUCAUGUGGGUCAUGAUGAGUGGCAGGCACAGUUCUGCCACAACAAACACUGGUUCCCUGCCCGCUGUGAGCUGGGUGUUGCUCCGGACAGGGGUUGGCAGUUUCCUGUAAAGGGGCAGGGGGAAGAGUCCCGGCUCUGCAGGCUUUUGGCAGCACCUGCUCUGUGCUCAGUCUGCCUCUGCAGGGUGAAAGUGGCCGAAGACAGGCGUAAAGGAUGAGCAGGUCUGUUCCAAUAAAACUUUAUUGGCACAACGGGGACAGUUUGGUCCUUGGACCCCUGGACUGGGAAGAGAGCAGGUACAGAGACAUAGACCCGCUCCUGUGAAGUCCAGAGGGUGAUUUACCUAUGCAGUUCACCCCAAAGUCAGAACCUCUUCCUCCCCUGCUCAGAAUCCUGCUGUAAUUCCAGCCACACUCAGCAUGAAAGCAAACUUGAACUAUGGCCCACAAGUCCUUAUCUGUGCAUCUUCCAGCCCCUUCUGUCCCUGCCUCCCUCACUCUUUCACAGUGCUUCAGCCACACCAGCCUCAUUGCUCCAUCCUCCCACAGGGCCUUUGCACAGUCUCUCUACUUGACCUCUCAUCUCCUGACCCUCCUUUCUGUGCAGUUUCAGCAAGCCAUUCAUUCCCCUGGACCCUGACACCUCAUCGUGCUCUGUGCCUUCUUACUGCAGAAUUUCUGCAUCCUCCUGCCUCCUGGACAUUCAGGGUCAUUAUGUACUGCGAUGCCCUCAUUAGAAGGGCAACUCUGUGUAGGCAAGGAUGCUUGUCUGUCUGGUCCAGUGAACAGCUGUGCCCUGGGGUCAACACUGACCACAGGAGGACAGGGUAUAGGGAGCUGGGCUAAGUGCUGAGAGGGAAGCAGAGGAGGGCAGAGGCAGGAGACCAGGAUGCAAUUUUAGAGAGAGGACGAGGGCCGGGCAUGCUCAUCAUUCUAGCAUGCAGGAGGCUGAGGCGGGAGGAUCACCAGGAGUCUGAGGCAAGCCUGGACAAAAUAAGUCUCUGGUUCAAAUAUCAAAUAAUUAAAUAAAAAACUUUAAAAAAAAA